rnacentral:sRNA from 12 species
CUUUAAAAAUCUGGAUCAAGCUGAAAAUCGAAACACUGAACAACGAAAGUUGUUCGUGAGUCUCUCAAACUUUCGCAACACGAUGAUGAGUCGAAAGGGACAUCUUCGG